UUCUCCCUUCUUCCCCAUUCACAAAGAAGAGAGGCAACGCGGCGGCAGCUCGGCGAGAGAACUCUCCAUUCGCCUCUCUCUCUCUCUCUCUCUUCUCUCCUCCUCCUACUCCUCCUCCUCCUCCUCCUCCUCUUCUUCUUCUUCUUCUUCUUCUUCUUCUUCUUCUUCUUCUUCUUUGUGCCAUUUCCGCCACGGCAUAUUCGAAAUCAGUAGCCAUCUCCUCUCCUACCUCUCCAGUUUUCGUCGCUGCCCCUGCAAGCGGCAGAUCUCAUCCGCCUCCAUCCUCUCUCUUCUCUCUUUCCUAUGUGAAUUAAAAUUUGUAUAGCAGUAGCAGUGGCAGAGCACUGGUCAUGGUUGGCAUCCCCAUCUUCUACCAGAUUCGAUGAUAGAUCGACAUCUCCCCUGUUCCACGAGCUUCAUUUCUAGUCCAAGAAAUCUCAGAAGUCUCCGCUAGUCCAUCCACACUAGAAGGAGUUGCUCGACCUCAAUAAUCUCCGAUCAUCAACUGCAAGCACACCGAACUCAUCUGAAUCUCCCCUGUUACAACAUCCAAUCACUAGUGAAUUUUGAUUCUGUGGUCGGUGAAGAAGCCAUAAUCGUAGCAGAUCUGCCUUUCCGUGUUCUCUAUUUGUAGUAGUCGGUUUUAGGCCAAAAUCCCAAUUUAGUUCUAAUGAUGUAUAUCAUUCACAAUGAUUUGUUAAUUUCAUAGCUGUAUCAGUUCUGUCGAACAGGACCGAACGCAUCUUGCUCGAUGUGAAGCAAACCAGUUCGUAAUGGAUCGUUUCAGGCCACAAUUCGAUUUUGGUUCAGAAGGCAUUGGAUUCGCACCAUGUGUUAUCAUAGUUAAAGCUGGAGAGGGUGGAAAUGGCGAGCACAACAGUUGAUAAAGAGACACAGGCCGGAGCAAAAAAGGAGGUUGUUUCGGUAGAAUUACCAGCACCUCCGGGUUGGAAGAAAAAGGUCUUUCUCUCGUUUUCUCUCUACUCUUACAAGGCUUUGCAACUUCAGUUCUGCUCGAAUUACUUUGUUCUUGUGCUUUAAUUUGUGUUUCAAUAUUAUAUUAUCUAUGCGUCUUUUGACUUCUUUAACUUUUCGGUGUUUUUGUUGUAGAACUUGCGCCAAGUAGUUGUAAUUUCUAGUUAGGGCAUAUCGCAGAAUUCUUUUCUUGUUUAUUUUUCCCUUAUAGAACUUUUGCUCCUCAAUUUUUUGUGUUUCCGGAUUUUUCUGGUUAUUUUGAUUAAAUGUAUUAUGGAAAUACUCGAAUGGUAAUUGUUUGGUCGUUAGGGUU